rnacentral:rRNA from 1 species
GACGAACGCUGGCGGCGUGCCUAAUACAUGCAAGUCGAACGCUUCUUUCCUCCCGAGUGCUUGCACUCAAUUGGAAAGAGGAGUGGCGGACGGGUGAGUAACACGUGUGUAACCUACCCAUCAGAGGGGGAUAACACUUGGAAACAGGUGCUAAUACCGCAUAACAGUUUAUGCCGCAUGGCAUAAGAGUGAAAGGCGCUUUCGGGUGUCGUUGAUGGAUGGACCCGCGGUGCAUAGCUAGUUGGUGAGGUAACGGCUCACCAAGGGCACGAGGCAUAGCCGACCUGAGUGAGUGAUCGGCCACACUGGGACUGAGACACGGCCCAUGCUCCUACGGGAGGCAGCAGUAGGCAAUGUGCGGCAGUGGACGAAAGUCUGACCGAGCAAGGCCGCGUGAGUGACGGAGGUGUUCGGAGCGUAAAGCUGUGUUGUUAGAGAAGAACGAGGACGGUAGUAACUGAACGUUGCCUGACGGUAACUAACCAGAAAGCCACGGCUAACUACGUG